GUGUGGAAUAGACUGGGGAGGUAGGCGUUCCCUGUUUUCAGAAAUCGCCUUCAUGCUGAGGUCGAACCCAAGAGGCGAUGCGUCGAGCAUUUAUUGAUCCAUUUGUUGACUAUGAGACCUUGUCCUUUGGGAUUAGAGGUGAUGACCACAUAUAACUGGAGGGUUAUAUGUACAUCUUCGUUGCGGGAACCGGGUGAGGCACGGAAGUGAGCAGCCUUACCGCAAACUGCUGAUGCUCGAAGGGUUAACGGGGUCGAGAAUGCAUCUGGGAAGUCAAUCUUUGCCACGUGCAACCACUCGCGGAGUUUCCACAC
rnacentral:SRP_RNA from 1 species